UCCGGUGCGGUAACCUGGUCUCCCUACUCGGAGCGAGCAGUCUGCCGUUGAGGCGAGGCUCGAGGCAGACCGGCGGAGCUCACAGGGCUGGAGGGAGGCCAGACCGGAGACAGCCGCUUUCUCUGUGUCCCUACCUGGAAGACGGGAAGCAGAAGGCUAGCUCCAGUCCUCCAUGACCGGCUAGCACCACUCCAGGGCUGAAGAUAGCUUGAAGGGGCCCAGUGGAAGAGAAGCUGGUGAAGGUGUAGAUGUGCGAUUUGGCUGUCACAUUGUAAAAGAUGCCCAGGACCCACCCUGUCUUGUCUCCCACCUCCACUUCCCAGUAAUGACGGCCAGAGAGGAAGCUCGGAGAACCCAGAGCAA